rnacentral:rRNA from 1 species
AACGAACGCUGGCGGCAUGCCUAACACAUGCAAGUCGAACGAGACCUUCGGGUCUAGUGGCGCCCGGGUGCGUAACGCGUGGGAACCUGCCCUUAGGUUCGGAAUACCUCCCCGAAAGGGGUGCUAAUACCGGAUAAUGUCUUCGGACCAAAGAUUUAUCGCCUUUGGAUGGGCCCGCGUUGGAUUAGCUAGUUGGUAGGGUAAAAGCCUACCAAGGCGACGAUCCAUAGCUGGUCUGAGAGGAUGAUCAGCCACACUGGGACUGAGACACGGCCCAGACUCCUACGGGAGGCAGCAGUGGGGAAUAUUGGACAAUGGGCGAAAGCCUGAUCCAGCAAUGCCGCGUGAGUGAUGAAGGCCUUAGGGUUGUAAAGCUCUUUUACCCGGGAUGAUAAUGACAGUACCGGGAGAAUAAGCUCCGGCUAACUCCGUG